GACUGUAGGCUGCAACUCGCCUACACGAAGCUGGAAUCGCUAGUAAUCGCGGAUCAGCACGCCGCGGUGAAUACGUUCCCGGGCCUUGUACACACCGCCCGUCACACCAUGGGAGUUUGUAACGCCCAAAGUCGGUGGCCUAACCUUUAUGGAGGGAGCCGCCUAAGGCGGGACAGAUGACUGGGGUGAAGUCGUAACAAGGUAAC
rnacentral:rRNA from 1 species